rnacentral:rRNA from 1 species
GGUGAACGCUGGCGGCAUGGAUAAGGCAUGCAAGUUGAAUGGGUUUAGACCCAUGGCAAACGGGGUAGUAACACGUAGGAACGUACCUAGAAGUCAAGAAUAAUCUGGAGAAAUCCAGGAUAAUACUUGAUAGUCCCGCAAGGGUAAAGAUUUAUCGCUUCUAGAGCGGCCUGCGUAGUAUCAGCUUGUUGGUAAGGUAAUGGCUUACCAAGGCUACGACGCUUAGGGGAGGUGAGAGCCUGACCCCCACCAUUGGAACUUAGACACGGUCCAA